UGGCCGCGGCGAGCCGGACUGGCCAUUGGAGUGCUCCGCUGCGGAGGGAGGGGACCCCGACUCGAGCUGCGGUUUCCGAGGCCCUCUCCAGCCAAGGAAAAGCUACACAAAAAGCCUGGAUCACUCAUCGAACCACCCCUGAAGCCAGUGAAGGCUCUCUCGCCUCGCCCUCUAGCGUUCGUCUGGAGUAGCGCCACCCCGGCUUCCUGGGGACACAGGGUUGGCACCAUGGGGUCCACCAGCGUCCCGCUGGUCAAGGCCCACCGCAGCUCGGUCUCUGACUACGUCAACUAUGAUAUCAUCGUCCGGCAUUACAACUACACGGGGAAGCUGAAUAUCAGCGCGGACAAGGAGAACAGCAUUAAACUGACCUCGGUGGUGUUCAUUCUCAUCUGCUGCUUUAUCAUCCUGGAGAACAUCUUUGUCUUGCUGACCAUUUGGAAAACCAAGAAAUUCCACCGACCCAUGUACUAUUUUAUUGGCAAUCUGGCCCUCUCAGACCUGUUGGCAGGAGUAGCCUACACAGCUAACCUGCUCUUGUCUGGGGCCACCACCUACAAGCUCACUCCCGCCCAAUGGUUUCUGCGGGAAGGGAGUAUGUUUGUGGCCCUGUCAGCCUCCGUGUUCAGUCUCCUCGCCAUCGCCAUUGAGCGCUAUAUCACAAUGCUGAAAAUGAAACUCCACAACGGGAGCAAUAACUUCCGCCUCUUCCUGCUGAUCAGCGCCUGCUGGGUCAUCUCCCUCAUCCUGGGUGGCCUGCCUA
rnacentral:sRNA from 1 species